AAAAUCAGGUCCAAAUAUCAUCAGAAUUGUCAGAGUCUUUCAUUCCUGGUAAUGUCAAUGUCCAUAGAUGGUGCAGCUCAUUCACAUGGUGACAGAUCUCAUGACACAGAAAUUUCAGAACUCAAAUUUCCUACAUGUGCACAGGGUGGUGUCCACUAAGCUAAUGGUGGGGAUAGUAGCAGCUAUCCUGCACACAGACAUUGAAUGGAGCUGUCUGAUCCAUUAUCAGAAGAGUGGACAGCACUAUGCGUCCGAUCAGAGAAGUUUAUCAAGAAGCAUUACGAGGGACUUGUAUGAAUGGACAGAAGACAUUUUCUUAAUUCACCACUCCAUCAUUGCCUGGUGUUGAAGACUGAACACUUUAUUGAAAAUUGAUAGGAUGUAGCAAUCAAUGGGUGUCAUCAUUUGCCCUGAGAAGACUAAGAGAACUCCCUGGUCCUCAUGAGAUGGUGACACCCUGCAGUAGGAGCAGUUCUUACCGGUAUCUCUUAAAAGAAGACAGAGGUUUACUUAGCAUCUGAUCCAUUUCUGGAGACAAACUUUUGAAUGGAGCUGGGUAGCAGUUACUCGAGAUGUCUGGCUGAUUGACGACGAUAAUUGUCCUGCGUCUGACAUUCUGGUAGGACUUGGAUAGCUCUAUCACUGUAGAAAAUGUCAGGACGGUGGAGAUUUAGAUAAGUGGUGUGAUGUUAUUGAUGGUAAACAGAAGACUGUGACCUUGAAUCUGAAGAUCUGUGAUGAAGACUGGACGUUUGGGGUCACUCUCUGUUACAGUACUACAAAUCUAACAGUGCCCCACUCAGCCACAAAGAGGUUGUCUCUGAUGUCCACACA